rnacentral:rRNA from 1 species
GAGGGCAGGGUGAGCGGAGGGGGAGUCGGCGGAGGAGAGAGGGGCGAGCAGGGGAGGAGAGGGGGUGCGGCGGGGAGGAGAAGGGCGAGCAGAGGAGGAGAGGAGAAGGGAGCUGCAGCAGGGACGAAGGGAGAGACUGGGCCCGGUCUCGGAGCGGCCGGCGAGGGGGGGUCGGCCACAGGGAGAAGUCUACGUAGGAGGUGCUCUAGGCCCAUGCCUCUCUCAGUACCACCGUCCCCGUCUACGCACUCCUCCUCUUCCGGCACCAGUACCACCGCGCUGCCUCCAGCACCGAGCGGGGGCGGCGAAGAGAGCGCGGGGGGAAAAGGGACGGGGGAGGGGCCGCAGGAACGGAGACGGUACCGGAGGUGGGAGGGAGAGGUAGCUGGAAGGACUCGAGAGGUAGAAGCCCCCAGCGGUGGUAGGCUACGGCGUGCGGUACUAAGGUCUAGCCGACGUCCAACUCUUCCUCGCCAACGACGUCACUCCCGUCGUCCCAGGGGUGGGGCCACCGACGCACGUCUCCCCCUCACCAGUUCCUGCCAACGGUCAAGUACCUCCUCUCUACGUUGUGUCGGCACUCGAGAAAGAAGGAGGAAAGGAGUAGAAGGGUACCACUUGACUCGAGUAUGAAGGAAAAAAAAGAAGAUUAACACGUGUAUCACAAACCCAACGUCAACUAAGGAUGUGAGUCAAAGUCACCACCGUACCACAGGUAGAGGUCCGGCCAACGUUGGAAGACGGGGGUAGUAAGGGACAUAAAAAAAAGUAUUAAAUGUGUGAUUCAACAUCUAACCAGCCUAGAUAACCGUAAUCCGUCGUGUUCUUAUUGUUAUAAACAGACGAAAAAGUACACGUCCAAGUCGUCGCCGUUACGAGUUCUAUCUCAAUCCGGCCAGACUUAUUUGUCUCUACUCGUCGUCGUCCCAACCCACGGGGUAAACAUGCGUAACGUAACCAAUUAAAACAACACGAGUACAAAGGCAAAGUACGGAGUUCGAGUUCUGCGCGCUCCACUACCAAACCAACCCUACCACGACGACGAGGCGUUCAUGCUCGAAGACGUGACACAAAACGAGAGAGUUGAACGGAGGGGAACUUACUUACCUGCGUCUUAUUACACAACUGUUCGAUGUACUCCAACCCGAAACGCUAACGUGGGACAAACACACGACCGUCCUUCCUUCUUGAUUCUUUUUCACACAACAAAGCGACCUAAGAAGAAGGAAACUAAAGUGGUUUGAAACACCGUCACCAACCGAAGAGCUGAGGCUGUGAGACAUACCUGAUCGGGCCAGAAACGGGUCUUCAAGAUCUUCCAUGUUACGACUUUUAAGUCAUCUUGUACCACGAGGAUAUUUAUGACUAUUAGGCCUUGGACCGUUGGUAACCGAAAACUUCAAACCGUCAAACAAUUUCUCGUUUAACUAGGUUCACUUAACUAGGUUCAUUUCUCGUUUUGACUUCAUGGUUACAUGGAGAAUAUUUAAACCAGUGAUAACACGAGAGACUGUCCUUACGUUCAAAACACUAUUUCCCAGGUGUCGGUUUCGUGGUGAGCUCAAAGUAUACGUCAUGUUUCUGCUCCGAUCUUUAACUAGAAUUCAGACUUCCUUGCAGUGAAAACACUCAAAACAAAGAGAUGAGGGAGUAUACGUCAUGUUUCUGCUCCGAUCUUUAACUGGAGUUCAGACUUCCUUGCCGUGAAAACACUCCUUUCUUCUUGUUCCUAAUCGUUCUCCGACGAUUCCUCCGACGUUGUGGAGCACGGGUUGUACCUGUUCGUUUGUUUAUGAAGUCUGUACGACGCAUAACGACAUCUGAUGUAGUUUCACCCACGACGUCCUGGUUUAACUCCAACAACUAGACCUCUACUGACCGAGUUGACUCUGACAUGGUGAAGUGGCGGAACUGCUUAGCUUCCUAAUGAAUCAUUAAAAAGACCACUGUGGUUAGUCCGGUCUAACAUUCGGGAAGGGACGUCAAACAAACUAGUCCAAUGGGGUAACAAGUUUCACCUAUACGUACCACGAACACCUAAGUACGAUAAACCUGGCUUAAACCGAAAAACUGGACCAAUCCGUAAAAGAAUAAGUACGAUAAACCUGGAUUAAACGUCUUGCAAUUUCAGUGGUCGAUCCUAAAACUGGACCAAUAGACCAAAACCGAAUAUCGUGUUGUACCGCCAUCACAUCUUUUCUAGAUUUGUCUAAGACUUAAUUGGGUUGAUCUGUACCUUUGGUUCUUGCUGGAUAGCCGACCCAGGUCAAGGAGUAGAAACAGAGGCUCGUUUUACUAGUAGACCACUGCUUGUGGAGGAGGAAGAGAAGAGAUAUACACGAGGAGGGAUUUCCUCUAGGCCUAAGACAAAGAUAAUCGUUGUCUAUACAACUAAACGACGAUGGACUUUGUAAACAGUCACUGUGUUAUUACAACUUAGAAAGAAACGAUAGACGUGUUAGUAGAAAAUAAAAUAUCGGAAUUAACAAUUUACCACUACAGGUUAAUGUGAAAAAAACGACGGUGUUAACGAUAACAUUAUAAACAUCUAAACUAAUGGACGAAACAAUAUACGUCUACGUAUACGUCGAGACAUAAAUACAAAAGAAUUCAACAUAUACGUACCGGAUAUUUACUAUAUCAACAUAUAUAUACCAACAUAUAUGUCAUGUUCCUCGUGAGACUUAGUACCAACAUAUAUGUUAUGUCCCUCGUUGAAAUUAGUACUACGUAUACCGGAGUAAAAUUAACUUAAUACUUCUCCAAAACGAGACAAAACACAUAACAUUAUACCCCAAAUCGAUACACCAUAUGUUAAUUACCCUUAACGAAAAAAGGAAAUUAUAACUUUCGAUCUCUUGACCUCCAUCUCAUUAUUUUCGACGAAGGAACGUCUCAAAAAACACGUCUCAGCACCUACGUAUUAUAAUAGGAGUAAUACAAGAGAAACGUACAAGAUAACAUCCUUCGCCUACGAUGGUUCUAGUACGGUUUCCGUCUCGUACGGUUUCCGCUACGAGUAAGGGCAAGAAUCACUCUACCCAAAUAAGCUACGUUUCAUACUCGUAACGUCUGAGACCGCUCGACAACUUCCAGCUACUCCUCCUGCGGCGGUGGUGGCAGUAGUCCGACCAGGUGUAGGUGCGCGACGAGCCGCAGCGGUCCAGUGGCCGUGUUGAGGAGUGCGGGUCCAGUAAGUUGUAAAAGAAAGCGAAAACCACACAACGUAAAUCUCAGAAAGAAAGGGUAAAAUGGCACAAACGUACCAUUCUACAAACCAACCUAAACUUCCAAGUAUCGGAACCGAGGUUUCGAAGUUCGAGAAUAUCUUUAAUCUUGACUCCCGGAAAAUUUUACUCAGGACGUAUUAUCACAACAAGUCACCCUACGUCUAACAAACCAUCAGACUAGCCGAUAGGAACCACGACUAAAUACAUGACUAAAGUAGUAGUAUACUGAUGUUAUUUCUUCAAUACACAUAUUUAUAAUGCUUGACGACUAUGAAACGUAGUCACUAAAGUUAAGAUAACCGGGAGGAAUUCUAACGAACCCUUACACUCCG